rnacentral:rRNA from 1 species
AACGAACGCUGGCGGCAUGCCUAACAUAUGCAAGUCGAACGAGACCUUCGGGUCUAGUGGCGCACGGGUGCGUAACGCGUGGGAACCUGCCCUUAGGUUCGGAAUAACUCCCCGAAAGGGGUGCUAAUACGGGAUAAUGUCUUCGGACCAAAGAUUUAUCGCCUUUGGAUGGGCCCGCGUUGGAUUAGCUAGUUGGUAGGGUAAAAGCCUACCAAGGCGACGAUCCAUAGCUGGUCUGAGAGGAUGAUCAGCCACACUGGGACUGAGACACGGCCCAGACUCCUACGGGAGGCAGCAGUGGGGAAUAUUGGACAAUGGGCGAAAGCCUGAUCCAGCAAUGCCGCGUGAGUGAUGAAGGCCUUAGGGUUGUAAAGCUCUUUUACCCGGGAUGAUAAUGACAGUACCGGGAGAAUAAGCUCCGGCUAACUCCGUG